UGGGUUGGCCAAAAAGUUUGUUUGGGUUUUUCUAUUACAGAUUAUGGAAAGCCCAAACGAAAUUUUUGGCCAACCCAAU
rnacentral:miRNA from 1 species